rnacentral:rRNA from 1 species
AAUGAACGCUGGCGGCGCGCCUAAUACAUGCAAGUCGAGCGAGAAGACGUAGCAAUACGUUUGUAAAGCGGCGAACGGGUGAGGAAUACAUGGGUAACCUACCCUCGAGUGGGGAAUAACUAGCCGAAAGGUUAGCUAAUACCGCGUACGCUUCUUGGACUUCGGUUCAGGGAGGAAAGCGAUGCCGAGGGUAUCGCGCUCUUGGAUGGGCUCAUGUCCUAUCAGCUUGUUGGGAGGUAACGGCUCACCAAGGCUUCGACGGGUAGCUGGUCUGAGAGGACGAUCAGCCACACUGGCACUGCGACACGGGCCAGACUCCUACGGGAGGCAGCAGUAAGGAAUAUUGCGCAAUGGGCGAAAGCCUGACGCAGCGACGCCGCGUGGGGGAGUGAAGGUCUUCGG